rnacentral:rRNA from 1 species
AUACGGAGGGGGCUAGCGUUGUUCGGAAUUACUGGGCGUAAAGGGCGCGUAGGCGGAUCGUCAAGUCAGAGGUGAAAGCCCUGGGCUCAACCUGGGAACUGCCUUUGAAACUAACGGUCUAGAGUCCGAGAGAGGAUGGCGGAAUUCCCAGUGUAGAGGUGAAAUUCGUAGAUAUUGGGAAGAACACCAGUGGCGAAGGCGGCCAUCUGGCUCGGUACUGACGCUGAGGCGCGAAAGCGUGGGGAGCAAACAGGAUUAGAAACCCCUGUAGUCC